UGCAACUUUUAAAGAAUUCUUGAUGGAGCUGAGUUCCCACAUGUGUAAGUUUAUGAUGUGCAUGCCACAACAUCCCCUUGUGAUCUUGUACAGGUUUUUAAGUACGGCUUUCCGGAGAAGAAUGUACACCCAGGGAUCUAAAAUCUGAUUCCAUGUUGCCAUCCGGAGAGCGAAAAGUAUUGUUUCACAGUUCUCCUUUGAAUGACUUGCAUUUAUCCCAAUUCUGGCCAUUGACACCAGGAAUGGAC
rnacentral:lncRNA from 1 species